GGUUAAGCGACUAAGCGUACACGGUGGAUGCCCUGGCAGUCAGAGGCGAUGAAGGACGUGCUAAUCUGCGAUAAGCGUCGGUAAGGUGAUAUGAACCGUUAUAACCGGCGAUUUCCGAAUGGGGAAACCCAGUGUGAUUCGUCACACUAUCAUUAACUGAAUCCAUAGGUUAAUGAGGCGAACCGGGGGAACUGAAACAUCUAAGUACCCCGAGGAAAAGAAAUCAACCGAGAUUCCCCCAGUAGCGGCGAGCGAACGGGGAGCAGCCCAGAGCCUGAAUCAGUGUGUGUGUUAGUGGAAGCGUCUGGAAAGGCGCGCGAUACAGGGUGACAGCCCCGUACACAAAAAUGCACAUGCUGUGAGCUCGAUGAGUAGGGCGGGACACGUGGUAUCCUGUCUGAAUAUGGGGGGACCAUCCUCCAAGGCUAAAUACUCCUGACUGACCGAUAGUGAACCAGUACCGUGAGGGAAAGGCGAAAAGAACCCCGGCGAGGGGAGUGAAAAAGAACCUGAAACCGUGUACGUACAAGCAGUGGGAGCACGCUUAGGCGUGUGACUGCGUACCUUUUGUAUAAUGGGUCAGCGACUUAUAUUCUGUAGCAAGGUUAACCGAAUAGGGGAGCCGAAGGGAAACCGAGUCUUAACUGGGCGUUAAGUUGCAGGGUAUAGACCCGAAACCCGGUGAUCUAGCCAUGGGCAGGUUGAAGGUUGGGUAACACUAACUGGAGGACCGAACCGACUAAUGUUGAAAAAUUAGCGGAUGACUUGUGGCUGGGGGUGAAAGGCCAAUCAAACCGGGAGAUAGCUGGUUCUCCCCGAAAGCUAUUUAGGUAGCGCCUCGUGAAUUCAUCUCCGGGGGUAGAGCACUGUUUCGGCAAGGGGGUCAUCCCGACUUACCAACCCGAUGCAAACUGCGAAUACCGGAGAAUGUUAUCACGGGAGACACACGGCGGGUGCUAACGUCCGUCGUGAAGAGGGAAACAACCCAGACCGCCAGCUAAGGUCCCAAAGUCAUGGUUAAGUGGGAAACGAUGUGGGAAGGCCCAGACAGCCAGGAUGUUGGCUUAGAAGCAGCCAUCAUUUAAAGAAAGCGUAAUAGCUCACUGGUCGAGUCGGCCUGCGCGGAAGAUGUAACGGGGCUAAACCAUGCACCGAAGCUGCGGCAGCGACGCUGAUGCGUUGUUGGGUAGGGGAGCGUUCUGUAAGCCUGCGAAGGUGUGCUGUGAGGCAUGCUGGAGGUAUCAGAAGUGCGAAUGCUGACAUAAGUAACGAUAAAGCGGGUGAAAAGCCCGCUCGCCGGAAGACCAAGGGUUCCUGUCCAACGUUAAUCGGGGCAGGGUGAGUCGACCCCUAAGGCGAGGCCGAAAGGCGUAGUCGAUGGGAAACAGGUUAAUAUUCCUGUACUUGGUGUUACUGCGAAGGGGGGACGGAGAAGGCUAUGUUGGCCGGGCGACGGUUGUCCCGGUUUAAGCGUGUAGGCUGGUUUUCCAGGCAAAUCCGGAAAAUCAAGGCUGAGGCGUGAUGACGAGGCACUACGGUGCUGAAGCAACAAAUGCCCUGCUUCCAGGAAAAGCCUCUAAGCAUCAGGUAACAUCAAAUCGUACCCCAAACCGACACAGGUGGUCAGGUAGAGAAUACCAAGGCGCUUGAGAGAACUCGGGUGAAGGAACUAGGCAAAAUGGUGCCGUAACUUCGGGAGAAGGCACGCUGAUAUGUAGGUGAAGUCCCUCGCGGAUGGAGCUGAAAUCAGUCGAAGAUACCAGCUGGCUGCAACUGUUUAUUAAAAACACAGCACUGUGCAAACACGAAAGUGGACGUAUACGGUGUGACGCCUGCCCGGUGCCGGAAGGUUAAUUGAUGGGGUUAGCGCAAGCGAAGCUCUUGAUCGAAGCCCCGGUAAACGGCGGCCGUAACUAUAACGGUCCUAAGGUAGCGAAAUUCCUUGUCGGGUAAGUUCCGACCUGCACGAAUGGCGUAAUGAUGGCCAGGCUGUCUCCACCCGAGACUCAGUGAAAUUGAACUCGCUGUGAAGAUGCAGUGUACCCGCGGCAAGACGGAAAGACCCCGUGAACCUUUACUAUAGCUUGACACUGAACAUUGAGCAUUGAUGUGUAGGAUAGGUGGGAGGCUUUGAAGUGUGGACGCCAGUCUGCAUGGAGCCGACCUUGAAAUACCACCCUUUAAUGUUUGAUGUUCUAACGUUGACCCGUAAUCCGGGUUGCGGACAGUGUCUGGUGGGUAGUUUGACUGGGGCGGUCUCCUCCUAAAGAGUAACGGAGGAGCACGAAGGUUGGCUAAUCCUGGUCGGACAUCAGGAGGUUAGUGCAAUGGCAUAAGCCAGCUUGACUGCGAGCGUGACGGCGCGAGCAGGUGCGAAAGCAGGUCAUAGUGAUCCGGUGGUUCUGAAUGGAAGGGCCAUCGCUCAACGGAUAAAAGGUACUCCGGGGAUAACAGGCUGAUACCGCCCAAGAGUUCAUAUCGACGGCGGUGUUUGGCACCUCGAUGUCGGCUCAUCACAUCCUGGGGCUGAAGUAGGUCCCAAGGGUAUGGCUGUUCGCCAUUUAAAGUGGUACGCGAGCUGGGUUUAGAACGUCGUGAGACAGUUCGGUCCCUAUCUGCCGUGGGCGCUGGAGAACUGAGGGGGGCUGCUCCUAGUACGAGAGGACCGGAGUGGACGCAUCACUGGUGUUCGGGUUGUCAUGCCAAUGGCACUGCCCGGUAGCUAAAUGCGGAAGAGAUAAGUGCUGAAAGCAUCUAAGCACGAAACUUGCCCCGAGAUGAGUUCUCCCUGACUCCUUGAGAGUCCUGAAGGAACGUUGAAGACGACGACGUUGAUAGGCCGGGUGUGUAAGCGCAGCGAUGCGUUGAGCUAACCGGUACUAAUGAACCGUGAGGCUUAACCUU
rnacentral:rRNA from 1 species